rnacentral:rRNA from 1 species
CCUACGGGAGGCAGCAGUGAGGAAUAUUGGUCAAUGGACGAGAGUCUGAACCAGCCAAGUAGCGUGAAGGAUGACUGCCCUAUGGGUUGUAAACUUCUUUUAUAAAGGAAUAAAACGAGGCACGUGUGCCUUUUUGCAUGUACUUUAUGAAUAAGGAUCGGCUAACUCCGUGCCAGCAGCCGCGGUAAUACGGAGGAUCCGAGCGUUAUCCGGAUUUCUUGGGUUUAAGGGGAGCGUAGAUGGGUUGUUAAGUCAGUUGUGAAAGUUUGCGGCUCAACCGUAAAAUUGCAAUUGAGACUGGCAGUCUUGAGUACAGUUGAGGUAGGCGGAAUUCGUGGUGUAGCGGUGAAAUGCUUAGAUAUCACGAAGAACCCCGAUUGCGAAGGCAGCUUACUAAACUGUGACUGACAUUGAUGCUCGAAAGUGUGGGUAUCAAACAGGAUUAGAUACCCCUGUAGUC